CCCAGCGUUGAAAUAAGUUUUUUGAUCUCUUUGCCUUCUUCAGACGUUGGAACAUCAGCCGAUAAAAGUUCCAGAAAUCCUAAACGCCGAUCAUCUCAACAUUGCACUCAGAUGAUGCUCUCUGUUCCUAUUUCUUGCCUUUUCAAAUACUGUAAUAAACAUAAUAGAUAAUGAUUACGAGAGAUAAAAUCGCCCUCAGUCUCCGAACCUACAGCAAAAGCGAGUUCAAUCACCCAAGGAUGAAACUCCAUCGCUCCAAUUGAGUCCGGAAGAGGCUGGAAAAGGAGCAAGGCCCAGCUUUCCCACGGUGAAGCUGAAGGAAACGGUGUAAAGGAGAAAAUGAUUAAGAAAUAAAAAAUGGAAGAUGAAGCUGAACACGUGGCAUUGCAAAGAAAAUGGGACCGAAGAUUUUACAUGAUGCCUAGAUUGAGGGUGAGACAUCAUAUUUGAUGUCUGACUUUGGAUCGAACACUUUUAACUAAUAAACAGUGAUGAGCAUCUAGAUCUUAUUGACGACUAAAGUCAUCGACAGAAUUGGUAAAUUUUAAGCUAGAUUUGCUACUAAACGGUGAUCUUUAAUAUUUUUUAAGGGUCGAAAUUAGGAUACUAUUUUCUGCAACCUUACACCAACUUGACAGUUUUUUUGCGUUUCAGCUGGAGUUACACUUUGUCGUGUACAUAGAUGGCUGAGCUGAAACGCAAAAAAACUGAUUGACCUAAACCAGUUGAUGAUAUCUCUGCACUUGAGAAGUUUCUUCAGGAACAAAUCAAAGUCGGCGGCAAACCCGGAGCUCUUGGUGACUCUGUUCCAUUACGCGAGACAAAGGCAAGAUCACGUUAACGUCACCACCGAGUUCAACUUCUCCAAACGUUAACAUGAUGUUCAUUUCGAGUUAAUUCAAGUAUCUGACCAGAAAGUUAUUGAGAAAGUAAAAUUUCCGUGAUUGGCUUUCCGUGAUUGCGUUGAACAAAGACAAGGAUCGUUUUCUUGCAGUGAUCAGGAACAAGUGCAGAACGUUCUUUCUCUGUUUACUUAAAAGAAUAAGCUAGAUCUGUUUGAGAAGUUGCAGAAGAAAAAAAAGUUUUCCAUGAUGCAUAAAGAGAGAAGAGCAGCAACUACUAGCUUACCAAUCUCCAUGUAUUGUCACAAGAACUAUAAAAUCAGCGCAGUCUAGGACGCUUGCUUGGUUCCGUAAGCGGAUGUUAGUCUCAGGUUCCGGCCCUGUAGGGAUUGAUAUGCAACCAGUUGGGGUAGCCAUUUUUGUAGAGUUACUGCUACAUAAAUUGUGAGGCAAGCGGUUGAAGAGCUGCUCUUCAUCUUUGACUCAGUGUUUGUCAUGGAGAAUGAAAACUCAUGUUUAGUUGGAUGUGGUGAGUCUCUGGUUGCUUCAGUCUUAUGUUGAGAGGAAGCAUUGGUCUGAGUUUUGUUUGUUUCACAUUUUUUACUUUACUUUAAAUAUUAUCUUUGGCUGAUUGAAUAAAGUGUAUAAAAGUAUCAUAUAACAUUAAUUUCUGGUUUGAGGUGAAAAUAUAAUAGAAAACUUAUGGA